GACCCGUGGAAAUGAGCAGCAUCUGGCACAGGCUCUCUCCCGAAUUUCUCUCCACCCCCACCCGCGGCAGGACCCCCCCCCUCCCCGCCGGAGACUCCCCGAAAUGCCAGGUCCCCCCGGCGGGGUCACAGCCGAGAUCGCGCAAACGCUGCCGGGCAGCUGGGGGAGUCCCCCGGGCCAGCACACGUCCUUUCCCGAAGGUGACUCUGGGUGCUGUGGCAAUACUGAGCACGUGGACAGAAAUGGGGGCGUUUCCUCCCGGCCCGUGGCCGACCUCUGUGCAGACCUCCACCUUCGGCUUCCCGGCCUCGCCCACAAUGAACCCUGCCGUCAUGAGAGUCGGCUCUUUGACAUCUGUUACAAAAUGCAAACCCCGGCGGCCCGAGUCCCCAGUCUGUGGCGACCUCUGAAGCCCUGCCUUCCGGAGCCGGGCUCCUCCGUGCCCCAGGUGAGCUGCUUCUGCUGAAAACUUCCCGGCUCCGCAGCGAUCUGCUCCUGGGCAGGGAGUUCUUUUCAGAGCUGGGGCAGCUGCCUGUGUGGGACAGGAAGCCCGCCUUUGGGUGGAGACCUGGGAGAGCCACCUGGGUCAGGACUGGAGCUGCUGGCUCAGUUUCUUACUUAAGCCCUAGCAAGGAACACAAAGACGGGACCCCCCUUACUAAGUAGAAUUGACCGUUAAUGUUCCUAAUGUGCUGUUUUUCAACCCAAAUCUUCUGACCAGGAAUGAUACGACUUUCAAAAAAAGAUGCCAACAGAUCAUGAAGAACCCUGUGGCCCCAGUCACAAGUCGUUUUGCCUAAAUGGGGGGAUUUGUUAUGUGAUACCCACUAUUCCCAGCCCAUUUUGUAGGAAGUGAACUGAUGCUGGCUUAUCUUUGUCUUAUUCCAAGUUGGGGCAUGAGGUUUUCCCUGCCUUAGAAGGUUGUUGAGACGUGAAACCUGGGAAGAUGUAUUGAGAAUUAUACAGGAGCCCGGUGUGAAGAGGUCUACCUUCCUAGCACCAAGACCCAAAGUGAGAGUGAGCCGUUUGCAGCUUUGUUGACCGUUGCCCUGCUCCUGGGAGUACUGACCCUUGGAGCUGUCUACUUCCUUUGCAGGAAAGGCCACCUCCAAAGGGCUAGCUCAGCCCAGUAUGACGUUGGCCUGGUAGAGACCAGCAGCAUCAACAUUUACAACAGGGUUUCAUCAAGGCAGAUCCUGAGCCAAUCUGCAAGUGCUUCAAAAACAAGAGCUGACUGCAUCUAGUCUUCUGCUUUUCUUCAAGUGUUUGUGACCACGUGUAUCCAUCUGUAAAAAUGACACUUCACUGCAACAUUUUAGCCAAGGACAUCUGGUGGACACCCAAACCCACAUAAAUUCAGUUUUAUCCUUCUGGAAGUUUUCUUCAGGUUUCCCGCCACCUUGCCCUCAGCAUCGGUCAUAACUUGCUUUCUGUACUGUAUCCCUUUUCAUUAUGCUGGAUGGCCUAAAUUCAGAUUUCUGAUCUUACUGCAAGUUCAAGCUGAGACUCAAGAGGAUUGGGAGGAAGGGAAGACUCCCAUCUAUUAAGAGUCACUUAGAGGGCUUGGUCUUUGGGGGAGGGGAGUAAUGGUAGAAAAUUCCCAUUUGCCUAAUAACUCAUUUCUCCAAUUCAUUGUUUCUAAAUAUUUUCUUUAGUGCAGCUCUUGGAAACAGGACAUACCUGUAGCCCCAUUUGACAGAGGGCUCAGUGUUGACUUGUCCAAGACCAUAUGCAGUUAAUGACAAAGCAAGGACUUAAAGCUCUUUUCUGAUUCCGAGUUCAGGGCUCUGACUGCUCCCUGAUAGGGCUUUGGAUGAUGGUGUUAUGGAGGUCCCGUCAACGAGGCUAUAGUGUAAUCAGGUCAUGAAAAACAAUUCAACCCAGUAGCCUUUGGGAAGAAAACCCUCAAGUGAAAAAGUAGCUGAAUGGAUGAGUCUUAAGUAACCAACAGCCCAACAGAACAGCCGGCACCGUGGGAGCCCGAGGCUUCACUCCUGCAAAAAGUAUUCAGUGAUGUCCUCGCUUUGCCUUCUUCACAUGCUCUAUCCAUGGGUACGAUGCCAUUUUGGCUUCUGAUUUCAAAAGCGACAUAGGCUUGGGCUAAACCUAAGCCCAAGGUUCCUGGAGACCUUCCAAACCCACCUCAUUUGACAGAUGGGGCCAAUAAAAACAGUUCAUUCGUUAUGGCCAGGUUCAAAAUGGGGCAGAAGGUGUAACUAUGACUAGUAUGAGUCACACAGAGCUGAUUCUCAAGCCCUCUGAUCUGGAGUCCAGGGCUCUUGUCACCUCCUCUGUCUUCUUUCUCUAUUUGUCUGCAAUUUCUUAACAUGUACUCUCUUGUGAUAAGUGGUGUCUUAUUUUUUAGCUGAGACCAUAGUAGUUAUUCCUUUAUUGGUGGUCUUUCUUAUCUAAACUAAUCCUAGCUUGAAACCAAAUGUUACAUAACCAUUGAACUCCAGGGACAAUAUCUCUCAGAAGCAGAUGGACAAUGAGAACAUUCUCCAGAAAGCUCAUUUUCUUUUCAACUCAGCUUCUUUAACAAUCCUUUUGGCCUUGAGACAAGAUUGUAAACAUAAGAUGUUUGAUCUCAGAUGGAAAAGAAUCCUCUGAAUAAUCCUACUGGAACAGCGGAAUGAAGAUCCCUUGGGAAAUGCCCCCAAACUCUUCAUAUGUGCUGAUUUGUAUAAAUAUAAUGACCAAUUCAAUUCUUGGCCUUAUU
rnacentral:lncRNA from 1 species